AGGCUCAGAGGAGUCAGCGUCUAUGAAGCAAUAAUAAUCCUUCAUAUACUUGAAGACAAGUAUUACAUUUCCCUCCAGCAGCCUCUUCUCAUUGCGCACUGCCUAAGUGUUCUGUAUUACCUAUCCUCAAGUCCCUUGAGCUGCUUAAUGCCUCGCUAUUUACACACUUCUCCCAUUCACUGUGAGUUAUAUACAGCAUGACAUGGCCUUUGGCAUCGAAAGGAGAUGGUUUUAAAAGCACGCUAGCUCAACACAGAAGAGAAACUAAAAGAAGCAGAACUGACUACAUACCUCUCCUCUCGGCUGGCUGGGCCUUCCAGUGCAAAUCAGAAUUGCCCCGUGGGUAAAAGGGUAUUCUCUCGAUGUGUAAAUUGAUCUUCCCAACAAAUGAGUUUGCUUGUUUACUACCUCGGAAAGGGUCUUUUCAUGAAAAACAAAAAAUGGUGAGCAGAAAUUUAUGAGAAGCUGUGAUUCCAGAUGGUCUUUGAGAUUUAUUGACUUUCUCCUUGGCUCUUUAAUUGCAGGUGUAUUACAGAUCUUUUACUUGCCCCAAGGUCAGUCAGAUACCAGUUUCCCUGACUUGGUCCAUGUUCACAGGGCGCAGGAAAAGCUCCCCAUGGAGUAAAUGGCUGAGGGGAAAGGCCAACAACUCCUUCCCUCCCUGAUUCCAGGCAGGAUGCUGGGAUACUGACUGUGGCUAGUGGACUCUUCACCUAUGGCUGCCAGCUCCAACCCUUUGCUACAUAUAUCUAAGGGACAGGUAUGAAAGCAUUAGAGCUGUUCUGUUUCUCUGGAGAGAGUUUACGUAUUCUCCAUCAGGUUCCCAGGAUAGGGGUCCAAUCAGAGCUGUAGCCGCAGGCCUACACCACAGCCACAGCAACUCGGGAUCUGAGCCACAUCUGCGACCUACACCACAGCUCAUGGCAACGCCAGAUCCUUAACCCACUGAGCAAGGCCAGGGAUCGAACCUGAAACCUCAUGGAUGCUAGUCGGGUUUGUUAACCGCUGAGCCACGAUGGAAACUCCAGGUUCUGAAAUUUCAUAUCAAGAUUGUGGACAUGGGUGCUUUUUAGAGUUUGGGAAAAUUAUCCCUUAAUUCAAUAAACAAAAUCAUUGUGCAGCUAUUCUAUGCCAUGAGAAUGAAUGUAUCCAUGACAAGCCAUUUGACAUAGCCUUUUCCCUUCUUAGAAUUUACAGUCUGAGAGGGGUGGGGGUGCAGUUGGAAAGAGAGGUGUGAAAGUUUGCCUAAGAGGCAAGGCAGUGUCCCACUUAAGAGCCUAUGUGAGAUUCCUCAGUUUCAAAUCACAGCUCUACCACUUACUACUGUAUCUUCUUGGUUAAGUUAAUUAAACUCUUCAACCUCAGUUUCCUUACCUGAAAAAUGGAAUGAUAGUGAUACAACUGAAUGCCUCGGGUUGUUGAGUAAAUGAGGUAACUUCCUGGCACCUAGCAGAGGCUCAGUAAAUUCUAGCUGUCAUUAUUAGUGUGAGAAGUGACAUACCCAAGUCAGAGUCAUGGUUUUUCCAGCUCAAGAUUCUGUCUCCGGAGGGUGUCAGGCAUAUUUUGUGGAAGAGCCUUAGCUUUUCUCUUUAAAUAUUUAUUUAAAAUGGUUAGUGACGUAUACUAUGUUUUCCAGUUUCCCUAAAUAGUUUGUUUUGGAGAUGCCAUUUGGAAUAGAUUUAGAUUUCUCUGCAGCAGAGUAAAUAGUAUCCUUCUUCACAACAAGAUCAAUUAAUAGCUGUUCCCUUCCUGGGAUUCUAGGAAUCUUAAUCUAGAAUGUUUCUAGGGUGAGUGUUUAUUUGACUCCUUACUUCUAGUAUAGAGGCUGGGUUUCCAUUUAGUCGCCUGGGGAGUGUAAGGUGUGGGCUGUCUGGGGAAAUGAGAAAUUUAGACUUCAGGAGAAAUUUCAGUAGACAUACUUAUAUUGAGAAUUUGGAAUAAUUAGAACUGAAUAGCCCAAAUUUACCAAUUCAACUGAACUGUAAACUCAGACUGAUAAAUAACUCUUAAGUGAAUCUGGUCCCAGAGUCACAAAGAGUUAGCCUUUCCCUGCUGAGGAGACUGAAAGGUAUGCUUUUGAAAGCCAGGUCCCUAGCUGGAGUUGCCCGGGAGUCCCUUCACUUGCUGCAGGUGACACGAAUUUGCCCUCUUCCCAACCCUGACCCAGAGCAUGUUGAAAAUUUUAAGCCUUGAUGUGGUUCUUAGCUUGGAGUCUCUUUUUUGCUCAGUACCUCCUCAAGUCAGACUUUCCAUAAGAAACAUGAAAGCAAGUUUCUGUGAUAAUAAUUCUUCCUCAAAAGCACCAUGUUUCUACUAAGAAGUGACGGAAUCAGAAGGAGAAUAGUCUUAUUCUUGGAGGAUGAUGUUUGGACCAGGACAGAUAGAUAGCUCCUAACUCAAAACAAAGAAUGUAGUCAAAACUUUUUUGUUAGUUUCUUUAUUCCCCAUCAUUUAAACUGUCACCUCCUUCCUCCCCUUGAAGGAAAACAUUAAGAAAGGUAGGCUCAAACUUGUGUUGGGCUUGUUUCACUUUAUAUCGUUUUUAACUGUGUUUUUGCUUCCUGAGUCAUGGCAGGUUCAUUAACAUGGAAUCAUUAACAUCAUUGUUUUAAAAGUUCUCUUUUGUCAAAAAUGUGAGUUUUUCCAGCACGUUAAUAACUCUCAUCCAUGUGAAGCCCAACUCCUUGAAUUUCUCACCGUGCAACAGGCUUCUUUUCAGGUAGCUCUGAAGGAUUUGAACAGAAAGUUUAAUUACAUGUCUUUUUCUUUCUUUCUUUCUUUUUCCCAGAAAAUGUACUUAAGGCAAAAGUUUGCUUCAGCAGCUAAUAACUUACCAGGGGUUUGUUGAAUACACAGUAUAAUCUCUUAGAGUCAUGGUAACCGGGGUGCAAAGAAGAGGCUUAAUUGAAUACAAUGUGUACUGUACUGUGUCUUUGGAAUGACAAUCGCCAUACUUCAGUGUACACUGCUCAUUUCUGGAAGUCUCUGGAGUCUAAAUUAUGUAAAACUGAAAACAUUCUCUGGCUAAGCAGCUGAGAAACUAAUUUUUUGAUGUUGCUGUUGUCCACCUAAGUGGGCCAAUACGUGCUAAACUGCUAAGGCUUGCACAUUUAAUGGCCACACUGCACCAUGUAAUUUCAGACAGCAAAAAGUAUGUGCUGCUGGUAUGAUCCCCUUUGGUUGUCUCAGAGAAGUGUGGAAAAAGAGCAAAGUACAGACACCUGCGUAAACACGAAAGAGCAGCGGUCCUCCUGACAGAAACCCCGGGCAGAGGCUAUAGUUCAGAAAAGUUUGCACCCAAGUCCUGUAGCCAUUGCCCCAAAGAGAGCUUCCUUUUCUCACUUAUAUUCUUUGCAUGUGGAUCUGUUUGCAGGCUUAGUCCCCGGGAGAGAGAUUCUGAGCUGUCUUUGUGCUAAAUUAAACAUUAGUUUUCUCCUUGGGAACCUGAUCUUCCAUAGACCAGGCAACUAUAUCUUUCUGAGAGAGAUCUGAGCUCCCUCAGGAAGAGACCAGCUCGGGAGCCUCCUUACCUCUGCUUUUUGCUUCCCUGGCAUGGGUGUGUGUUGCAUGGGAAUUGCCUUUUCUAACCAGGUCCCUUAAAGCAAGGACUUGUACUCUCGUACUCAGUAGAGUGUGGGAGGACCCAGGCCAGCUUGGCUUGGCAUAUAAUACGUGGAAAUGGUCAGAGCAGCACCCAGAUGAUAGAGGAUUUCAGCUGCCCACGGGAAUGAGUUUCCUUGGCUCACGGCAUCCCAAAUUUUGAACCCAAGGCAAUGAAAGGGAGUAGUAGGCAAAAUAGCCAUCUCAUUUAGCCCUCUCACCUCUCCAUCCUGCCCAUCCCCAAGAGAGCUAGUUGGUAUUGAUCUAAAAAUAGACAUUAUUCUAUCAAUUUGUACAUCUUAUGAGCCCUUAGGGAGAAAACAGACCAAACCCCUUUCUCAUAGGUGAAGAAAUAUUAAAGCCCAUUUAAAAGAAAAUAUUUUGAGUUCCCAUAGCAGUAGAGGUAGAACUAGAACCCAAGUUUUCUGACACCAAUCCCAGGUUAUAAAACGUAGUCUUUUCAAUUAAUCUAUGAAAAGAACAGUUAAGGGCAAUGCAGGACUUAUUUUAAAGUUUUUUUUUUUUAAAAGAAAAAUACGAGAGUAUAGUUGGUUUACAAUGUGUCAAUUUCUGCUGUACAGCAAAUCGACUCAGUCAUACAUAUAUGUUCUAUUUUAAAUCUUGAUCGCAGAAGGAACGUGGAGUUUAGAGCCUAGGGUAAGUUGUUUUUUAAAUGAUCACCAUGAUUCUGUCAAGCCCACUUGCCCCUUUGCAAUGUGACUUUACUACUCCUCGAAUUGAAAAAUGGAUGCUCUUUCUCCCCUUGAACCUUGAAGAGUCCUGUGACUUGUUUUAACCAAGAGUCUGUGACAGAAAUGGUGUUGUGCUACUUCUGAGGAUGGGCUUUAAGAAGCUCUCUUAGACUUAAAAUCUGUUAAGGGUAAGUCUUAGGUGUUCUUUCCAUUAAACAAGCAAACAAGUAAGUAAGUAAAUAAAAACAAAGAGGGCAGGGCAGGAGAAAACUUGGUGACGUGAUGGAUAUGUUUUUGGCCUUGACAGUGGUGAUGGUUUCCUGGGUAUGUAUUUAUCCCCAGACUCAUUGAGUUGUGUACAUUAAAUACGUAGAGCUCUUUUAUGUCAAUCAUAUCUUAAUAAAAUGGUUUUUUAAAAAGUCUUCUUGGGACACUGAGACCAACAUAUAUUGAAGCUGGUCUAGCCAGCUAUAGGAUGAGUGACAGGCUGAGAACCAAGGUGCUCCUGCCUUCAAUCAGCACCAACUGCCAACACGAGAGUGAGGCCACCUUGGACCAACCAGUCUUCCAACUCAGUGCAGCCAAACGAGUGAGUGAGCCCACAUGAAAUCAGCAGAGGAACUGCCUAGUCAACCCAGAGGACCAUGGGAAAUAUUGCAGAAUUAUUUUAAGCGCCGAAGUUUUGGGGUGGUUUGUAACUUAGCAGAGGUUAACUGAAACAGAGCCAGAAAACCUUAGCACGGAAGACAGUCCUGCCUCUUCAGGUGUGUUACCCCAAGGACUGGUUACAUAACAUCUUUGAAGACAUUUUAUGCUUAUGUACUAUAUGAGAUAAUACAUCAAAGGACCUAGGGUGUUGUCUGGCACGUGGUACCCUUAACAGACAUUAGCGUCCUUGCUUUGUCUUUUGUUCCUUCUCUCUGUAUUAUAAUUCACUUCAUGGGCAUCAACAUUCUUGUAGGUUUCGCUAGCUCACUCUUCCUCUGAACAGCAAUUUAUUUUGUCGCUCCUGGUUGAUGGUCUGGUGGUGUCCUUCCUCCUAACUCCCGAAUUUCCAGCAUUCUCGUUCUGCUCCAGGGAACACAUCUGCCUUCGAUAGUCUACCCUUAAAAUAGAAAAGGGUUAACCUCAUAAAGAUGUCACUCCCCUUGUACUGCUAUGCUGCCCUUGGGAGGGUCAAACAGCUAGCAAAUAUAUAUGGGCAAUGUAAUUGCCUUUGAUCUCCUAGGUCACAGAAGACUCUCCUAGCCAGUGUGGCAUCCAGGUGGGACAUAAGCAGAUUCUGUCUUGAAGAGCAGAGUUUCUCCGUCUGUUGAUCGCUAUUUUUGUUUUUGCUAGCAAAUGACUCUAAGGGCCUCAUUUUUUCCCAUCUUAGGCUUUGCAACAAAUAAUAAGCAAAGACAGUGAUAUAAUGAUAACUAUAUUAUACUUCUUAUCUUCUUAGUGAUAAUGGAAAGUAGUGGCUGCAGAAUUAGGUGUUGAAGGUCCCAGUGCUCCCACUGCUACCAGCUAGUAGCAAUUUAGUCAAGUCCUUUUACUUCCCUGGUAGUUACUUUCCGUCUUGGAAGGAGAGUGAGGGAGGGGCGCUUGGUCUGUGGUUGGCUCACCUCUGAAGUCCCGUUUGCACUAAUACACUUGGAGUAAGUUCCCUGAUAUGUUACUUUUGUUUUUCAACCUUCAAUAUAUAUUCAAUAUUCAAUAUAUAUUGAAGGUUGAAAAUAUAUCUGUUAGGAAGAGUAGAAAGAAGGAGAGAUGACAAGGGUGAGAAUGUUUUAUUUUGUUUUUUUGAAGGAAGCACUAGUAAGAGGGUCUGAAGUAAUCUCAGGAAAAGGGCUGUGGCAGAGGGCAAAUGCACAGCCUUAUUAACUGCUUAGCAUCCUUCCUAGAGGUAAUGAACAAAAUCUCUCCAUAUCUGACCCUUUUGGAUGGGGUUUAAGGGUUCCAGUAUGAGAAACACUGUUGUAGAGUUUGAUUUAUUGUGUUUACUUUGGGGGGGAAGCACUGAUUUUUUUUUUCCCCCUAGGUCCUCCCAACUACAUUUGGCAGCAUAUCUGUGGGUAAAGAAGUUUUCCAAUCUAAUCCCCCUGUGAAAUAAUUACAUGAAAUAUAAAAUGUAAAACGAAAAGGAAAAUAUUCUCACAGAGCCUUCCUUCCUCUGGAAUUGACUGGUGUUUUAGCUAUAUCCAUCGUGCUCUCCAUCUGUUUGUCUCUCGUUUGUAUGUAUAUAAAACAAUUGAAACAUGCAAAUGAAGGGAUGGGAUUUUAUAUUGUCACCACUUCAUUUUUUAAACAUGUUUCUGCUUUAAAGGGGAACUGCAAAAGAGAGUCACUGAGAAAUUGGCCUGGAGGAGGAGUAUUCAACCCACAGCCUCUCCUCUGCCCCUUAUCACUAAAACUCUAAACAGAGAGUAUAAUCACCUAUUUCCCAAGGGCAGCCCUAAGCCCUUAAAACUCAGAUCUGUUUAAGGAUUUACUAGAACUGGAAAAGAGAAAUGCACAGGAUCUGCUCCAAACCAACAAAGGAAAAUUUACCCGACCAAAUAUUCAAUCUAGAGAAUUUCUUUGAUAGCACACUCUCCUCCCUCCCUAUCUCUUGAUUUUGUUAGGACACAGCUCUUCAAAUUGCAUCUUCACGACUCCUAGAAUCUUGGGAGUCUGUGGAUCUGAGGCUCCAGGCCAGCCCAGGGCAUUUUCUUUCACAAAACAAGAUAUAACUAGCAGGAAGCCCAAAAGGGCAUUUGGUGGUAGUUGUCGUUUAUUUUGUUUCAAAGGGUAGACACACUCAGCUUCAUUGUCUGUUGGCUCAGAGCCAGAAGGAUGGUGGCAUUUUUCCUAGUAACUUAUGAAGUCUGUAGCUUUUCUUCUGAGAUUUUUUUUUUUUUUUUUUAGGUGGAAAUGCUUGAUGUUAUGCUAUGAACCAUGGCUUUUCUUUUUAAAAACACUAUGAUAAAGGAAGUCUAGUUGCAUUUCUUUUCCAAUAGAUUGGGUUUUACUUUUGCUUAGAAAAUUACAUGCACACCCAUGCACACAAUUUACCAUGGUUAUUUUUUAGUAUAUAUAGUGUACUAUUAUUAGUAUAUAGAGAUACAAAUUGAUUAUAUGGGUGAUUUACAGAGAAAAUAGAAGUAAGGUGAUACAUUAAAGAGGAUGAUGGGGAAGACAGUUUUUAAGGAGAUUGCUCAGGAAGACAGGAGUCUGCUAAACUGCAGAGAGUAGGAAAGAGAAUGUUGUAUCCCACUGGUCAGUGUGGAGGGACAGGAGACCUCUAUUCUGGUCCACGCUUCACCGGUAACUAAAAGGGUGGCCUUGGGGCCAGUCAGUCCUCCUUUGCUUUUUGGAGUUCCCAUCAGCAACCCUAAAGGUUUGGAUUGCUCAGCAUUUUGCUUGGCUGGAUUAUGCUUGACACCCAGUAUUUGGCUCCGGUAUCAUCUCCUUGGAGACCCCUCCCUGGCUCCCCUAACUCUUGUUGACACACGUGCUUGAUGUCCCUCUCUCCUCUUUCCCUGUCACCUUAUCCCUUGGUAGAGGUUUUAUUGUCUUCAUAACUUCCAUCACCGUCUGCGUUUAUGUUGAUUCCUCAUUCAUUUGUGCCUUUCCUAUCUUUCCCCACUGGAACAUAAGCCCCAUGAGACCAGAGACCUUGUCAGUCUUGUUCACCACGCGCAUCCCCAGCCCCUAGCAGUUCCUGGAACAUUUUGGACCCACAAUGAAUAUUCGUUGAGUGAAUGACUAGAUCAGUGGCUUUUAAACUAGAGAUGUCUCACAAGUUUUUCAGGGAUGGAUGUAAGAAAGAGAGACAGAGAUACAUGUGGUGGGCCUCCAAGUUCCCCACCUCCUGUUUAAUUAUGUGUAUGUUAUGUAUAUGUGUUAUAUCUGUGUCGAUAUAUAUCAAGAGGUCUUUUUUGGCUGCAUGUGAGGCAUACAGAAGUUGCCAGGUCAGGAAUCAAACCCACAUCACAGCAGCAACUGGAGCCACGGCAGUGGCAAUGCCGGAUGCUGAACCUACUGACCCACACGGGAACUCACUAUAUAUCACUAAGUUUCUAAUGACACUAAAAUAUAUAACGUUAUAUAUAAAAACAGUAGUUUUUAAUCACACUAAGGCAUAUAUGUAUGUAUUGUGGAUAUCUAUAGAUAUGGAUAUGGGAUAUGGAUAUGCCUUAGUGUGAUUAAAAACAUGACUCCAUGUGCUACAACCAUUUGAAACAUACAGGGGCAUGAUGACCUUUUAAGAUUGUUCCCAGAUUGGAAUUUCUGUCGUGGCUUAGCGAAAACAAUCUGACUAGCAUCCAUGAGGAUGCAGGUGCGAUUCGUGGCCCCGCUCAGUGGGUUAAGGAUCUGGCAUUGCCAUGAGCUGUGGUGUAGGUCGCAGAUGCAGCUUGGGUCUGGCGUUGCUGUGACUGUGGUGUAGGCCGGCAGCUACAGCUCCGAUUUGACCCCUAGCUUGGGAACUUCCAUAUGCCU
rnacentral:lncRNA from 1 species